rnacentral:lncRNA from 1 species
UUUACACUGAAAUGCCCACGUGUUUGCAGUGGGGCCUGAGCACUGACUUUCAGUUACUCUGCAGUUGAGAACCAGUGCCUUUUGGAAUGCAGGAAACAGGAACCUCUGCUGGGCAGAGCUGGGGUACAGGCUGGUGAGCUGUGCUCCUUGUGGGUGUCUUUACUGUGCAUCCUGUCUGAAGGACGAGCAGGGAUGAGGAGAUGCCCUGUUUUGCUGUCACCACAGCUGCUGCUUGGUCAAGUGCAGAGGAAGGAAACCGUGGCACUAUGGAGCAAAGGGCAGCAUUCCAAUGUCCUAAGUGUUGAAGAAAGGCCACCAGGACUUUCUACAAGGAAGGGCUUGGUUAUUUCUGCAUUCUAUUUCAUCUUCAAAGGUUGGGUUGGGCAUGAGGGUUGGUGCUGGGAUGGAACAUUCUGUGGUUUCUAUGGCUUGCAGGUGACCUAUUGUACCAACAUUUUUCAGAAUUGAAUUUCCUGGGGACUACAGGGGAGCUUCUUUUGAGGUCAAACAUUCCCCAGGAUCCAAGUAUCUAGGAGGCUAGGGGGGAGGGGGUUGCAGUUCCUUUGUGUUCAGUUUUGGCCCUAGGCCUGUUGCAUACAACAUAGUCUCUAGGAGCUAAGGGUUGGGGAAGGGUUGAUCUGGAGUUUG